rnacentral:rRNA from 1 species
GAGGAAUAUUGGUCAAUGGACGGAAGUCUGAACCAGCCAAGUAGCGUGCAGGAUGACAGCCCUAUGGGUUGUAAACUGCUUUUGUAUGGGGAUAAAGUUAGGGACGUGUCCCUAUUUGCAGGUACCAUACGAAUAAGGACCGGCUAAUUCCGUGCCAGCAGCCGCGGUAAUACGGAAGGUCCAGGCGUUAUCCGGAUUUAUUGGGUUUAAAGGGAGCGUAGGCUGGAGAUUAAGUGUGUUGUGAAAUGUAGACGCUCAACGUCUGAAUUGCAGCGCAUACUGGUUUCCUUGAGUACGCACAACGUUGGCGGAAUUCGUCGUGUAGCGGUGAAAUGCUUAGAUAUGACGAAGAACUCCGAUUGCGAAGGCAGCUGACGGGAGCGCAACUGACGCUUAAGCUCGAAGGUGCGGGUAUCAAACAGGAUUAGAUACCCUGGUAGUCCGCACAGUAAACGAUGGAUGCCCGCUGUUGGUACCUGGUAUCAGCGGCUAAGCGAAAGCAUUAAGCAUCCCACCUGGGGAGUACGCCGGCAACGGUG